AGCUGGAUAGCUCAGUUGGUUAGAGCAUGGCGCUGAUAAUACCAAGGUCACAGGUUUGAUCCCCAUAUGGCACAGCUG
rnacentral:tRNA from 1 species